UGGCGGUCCCGACGGGACUCGAACCCGCGAUCUCCUGCGUGACAGGCAGGCAUGUUAACCACUACACUACGGGACC
rnacentral:tRNA from 1 species